rnacentral:rRNA from 1 species
UACGGGAGGCAGCAGUGGGGAAUAUUGCACAAUGGGCGAAAGCCUGAUGCAGCUAUGCCGCGUGUAUGAAGAAGGCCUUAGGGUUGUAAAGUACUUUCAUCGGGGAGGAAAAACAAAACUAAUAAUUUUAUUUCUUGACGUUACCCGAAAAAGAAGCACCGGCUAACUCCGUGCCAGCAGCCGCGGUAAUACGGAGGGUGCUAGCGUUAAUCAGAAUUACUGGGCGUAAAGAGCACGUAGGUGGUUUUUUUAAGUCAGAUGUGAAAUCCCCUGGGCUUAACCUGGAACUGCAUUUUUGAAACUGAAAUACUAGAGUAUCGUAGAGGGAGGUAGAAUUCUAGGUGUAGCGGUGAAAUGCGUAGAUAUCUGGAGGAAUACCUGUGGCGAAAGCGGCCUCCUAAACGAAUACUGACACUGAGGUGCGAAAGCGUGGGGAGCAAACAGGGAUUAGAUACC